CAAAACACUUGAGCCCUGUCCUGGUACUGCCUCAUGCGCCUCACCCCGCCCGCGGCCUUCUGGGGCCCAGCUCUCGGCAAGAUGACUCGACAGGGCCGGGGUGCCAGGACCUUAAAGAUCAGGAAACAGGUUCAUAGAGUUUUUAAGUGAUUUGCUUAGUCACACAGCUUGAACGAGGCAAAACUGAGAUUAGAAGCUUCUCUCCAUAUCCAAGCCCCCCCUUUUUUUUUCCAUUUUGGGAUUGAUUUUGGGAUUCCAGACUUGGCAGGAAGCUCUGCCACUUCUCAGUCUGCCCUCAGAGGCCCCCAAAUUUCAUGGCAGAAGCUUUUCUUCAUUUGAAGGAGGAUGCUUGCCCCAGUUGGUGCUGAGAAGGCAAGGCCGGUUACCUAUUCCUCUGCUUUACUCAAAUCUGAGUGUGGAAAGAGUACUUGAUAGAUAUGGAAUGAAUAACAUGCUGCCUGACUUCAAGGGUCCUGUGACCUGGCUCCCCACUGGCCAACUCUACAGAUGCAGAAAGUGCCCAGCUUGGGAGGAGUCACUUCCUGGCAAGCUCUUCUAAGGGAAGAUGAAACUGUUGUUACUUCACUUUUAACGUGCCAAGAGGAAGAGACUAGAAAUAAUGAAAUCAGGACAGGAAGACGCUGGGGGUAGGGGAUUGAGGAAAUGUGAAGCCCUUGUGCUAAGUCGACUCCAUACAAAGAUGACCCCCUGAUCCCUGGGUCUCCACUGCCCCACCCGGAAAAGAGGGGCCUCACCUGCAGUUACAAUCUACUGAAGACAACAGUGCUUGCCUCUGGGGUUAGGCUUCGAGCUCCCUGAAGACAAGCUGGCUCAUGUCUGAGUAUCUGCUGAACGUAGGAUGAGUGAAGUGAGAAUUGAAAUGAGAUCGAGAGUCAGCCUCCCAGUAGGGGAGGGGCCUUCUCUUGACACCUUCUCCACCCCAAGGAGCUUAAUGCCUCAGUUCUGUCCUAGCCAAGUCCAGUGGAGUCUGCACAUCCCGCCACCUCCGUUGCAGAGCCUGCUUCACUCCCUUCCAAGGAUCCCGGCAGAAGGACCCCCUUCCCAGGAUGUGCUCGCUAGUAAAGGAAGAGGCCAUGCGCCUUCCACUGGUCUCAGGCAUGGGCCGCGGCCACAGGCCGGCUAGAGGCAGCCCUCUGCUAAACUGUGUUGCCUCUGUGGGCCUGUAGUAGGUACAUAAUGGGCCCCGAAGAUAUUAGGUCCUAAUUCUUGGAACCUGUGAAUGUUCCCGUACACGGAAAGUCUUUGCAGAUGCGAUUAAAGGAAGGAUUUUGAGAUGGGGAGAUUAUCCUGGAUUAUCAGAGUGGGCUCUAAAUGUAAUCACCAGUGUCCUUUUAAGAGAGAGGCAGAGGAGAAGAGGAGGGGGCAAUGUGGCCACAGAAACAGAAAUUGGAGUGUGCGGCCACGAGACAAGGAAUGCUGGCGGCCACUGGAAGCUGGGAGAAGCCAGGGACGGAGUGUCUCCUAGAGUCUCCAGAGGGAGCAAGGCCCUGCCAACACCUUGACUUUCGUCCAGUGAUUUUGGUUUUGGACUUCUGGUCUUCUCAACUAUGAGAGAAGAAAUCUCUGUUGUUUUAAGUCAC